UUCUCUAUUCCAGCUAGUAAGUUGCCCGUGCAUUCCUUCAAACUGAGAUGAGAUUGGCUGAGAGUGACGGAUUUCAUGAGACAGAAAUAACCAAAACAAGUAGCUAUGUGGUAAAUGCUUUCCAAGAGCCUGCUUAGUGACCAUGGCAUGUUAAAUUAAUUUUGUAUGGUACGUGUCCUAUACAGUAGACGUAUACACUGUAUAUACGUAUGAGCAGAUUUGUGCACAGUUAAAGGCUAAUCGAAAUCUAUAACCAAUCGCAUAAAGAAUGAAGUGGACCCUUCUCAUCCUCACUCUGGCUGUGUCCAUGGUAAGAGCAAAAUAUAAUGAUGAAGAAACUGAAAUAAACUCCUUCAUUGAGUCACUGCUACAGACAGCCAAACAGCAAGCAGGGGGAUGCAGCAAUUGUUUGACUGAAAUUGACAUCUUUGUUCAGACGUCAAGUGUUGAUAAUGCUCAGACGGCAGGAUCACAUGAUGUUGAAAUCUCAUUUGUAGGCGGAGAAAAACAAAAGUUUAGCCUGACCAAUAUUCCGAAAAAAAGUCAAGCAAAACUUUACAACUUCGCUCUUACAGAUUGUUUCACCAUUUUCGAUCCUACUAACAUAACAGUGAUUGCAGUAAACACUGAUGGGUGGAAUAUCGAAACAAUCGUUACAACUUUCGCUGAUGACAAAGGCCGCACCUACUCAGGCUCUAUCAAUAGGAAGGUCAAUCGCUGGGUCGAUCAUGAGAAUAGGCCAGAACAGGAGAGAUUUGUCCUGGCUUUGAAAAACCACGGCUAAGCAGAUUGUAGAGUGAAGAUUGUAAAAAGCGGAGGACGUGCUAGCUAGAACUUAUAAUUAUAUACUUGUUAGUAAAAACUACAGCAAAAAGUAACUUGAUUAAUUAAUGUGUAUGAUUAUACCUAUUUUGUUAUG